rnacentral:rRNA from 1 species
CCUACGGGGGGCAGCAGUGGGGAAUAUUGGACAAUGGGCGCAAGCCUGAUCCAGCAAUGCCGCGUGAGUGAUGAAGGCCUUAGGGUUGUAAAGCUCUUUUACCAGGGAUGAUAAUGACAGUACCUGGAGAAUAAGCUCCGGCUAACUCCGUGCCAGCAGCCGCGGUAAUACGGAGGGAGCUAGCGUUGUUCGGAAUUACUGGGCGUAAGGCGUACGUAGGCGGUUAUUCAAGUCAGAGGUGAAAGCCCGGGGCUCAACCCCGGAACUGCCUUUGAAACUAGGUAGCUAGAAUCUUGGAGAGGUCAGUGGAAUUCCGAGUGUAGAGGUGAAAUUCGUAGAUAUUCGGAAGAACACCAGUGGCGAAGGCGACUGACUGGACAAGUAUUGACGCUGAGGUACGAAAGCGUGGGGAGCAAACAGGAUUAGAUACCCUGGUAGUCCACGCCGUAAACGAUGAUAACUAGCUGUCCGGUCACUUGGUGACUGGGUGGCGCAGCUAACGCAUUAAGUUAUCCGCCUGGGGAGUACGGUCGCAAGAUUAAAACUCAAAUGAAUUGACGG